CAUCACUGUGAGAUUUUCUGGGAUCCCUUGCUGGCAUGUAAAGUUUUCUACACAUUAGAGUUUUUAUUUUAUUUUCUAUUCAUUUACUGAAAUCCAAAUAGAUUUAAGCAAUUGGAAAAUUCAAAGUCAGUAUUGCCCAGUAUGUAUUUCAAGUGGCAUUCAAUAUUUCUGACAUUGCUGAAACAUCACCAACAUGUCUCCAUGACUCAUUUCAUGAAACACAUUGAAACUAUAUGUCCCAAAGUGUAGCUCCCUCCCUGCCUCACCUUCUGCCUCACUCUGCCUAUCAUCUCUGUGAUUCUGACUACUUCUAAGUACUUUGUUAUGGACUUUUAUGAUAUCAUAUAACGUAUACUUCAUGUGUAUGGUCAAGUUUUCAAAGAAACCAGCAUCAGUUGCAUGGCAACCAUUUUAUUAGAAUAAUACUGCUCCGUUGACAAAGGGAGUGUGUGGAGAAAGGCAGGCUAUUCUGUGGAUGCAGCAACUGUGUGUGUUCAUAUUCAGAAGGCUAAAUCUAUCCAAUAGUCCUGAGUGUUAACAUCAACUCUUCUCAGUAGGAAAGUGAAUUCAUUGAGCUACAAUUCACUGAGCACACAAUCUAAAAGAGUUCAGGCCGGCAGACCUGAGACCUGGCAUUUCCUCCCAGCAGAGGAGCAGUAGACAGUCACUCUUGCCACACAAUCUCAGUAGACACCACUGUGACGAGAGAAAGGGCAACACACUGAUGUAAUUAUGAGUUUGGCAGGCACAGGGGUCGUCUAGGACUCUAAGCCCUCGAGAGAAUUGUCCAUUUUUAUGCUCAGACACAAUAAAGGAGAGACAGCAGAAUGCCAACAUGAAUGGGGCUGAGUUAAUGCUAACAGACCAAGUGGACAACCCAGCCAAGCCUGGGUUCAGAACCUUCUAAGCCCCUCCCUGUGGAAUUUCCUCCUCUCUGGGAUAGGGCAGGACUCUCUGGAAUGAGGGUCUUGAUUGGUUUGAUAACCUGCUGUCAUGUAGAAAGAAAGAAGGUUGACCUCUGUCACACCAUAUUGCCAGCCUCAUUGGAAGAUACAUACUUAAAAUGGAUAAUCUCCUUGAAGAAAACACCCAGAGAACACUUGAUGUCUACUCUCACACUUAAGUCUCUACUUGGAGUCCUGGAGUCAGGUUCAGACAGUGACCUUAUCAGGUUCCUUCAACAGGUUAUUUAGCCCCUCUAGCAAGAAGAGUGCUGACCCCACAAGGCUGCUUGGAGAGUCAAUUGAAGUGCUGGAUGUUACGUGUCUGGCACAUAGUAAGUGCUUAAUGGAUGGAGUUAUAAUUAUCUCCUAGCUUAGCUUCCAGCCCAUCCCUGAACCAGUCACACUGGUCAGGUGAUGUCACAGUCUGGCCAGCCAAGCUCGGGUCAUAAAGUAACAUUCUGAACUGACUGCAGCAAGGACUAAGCAUUGCAGAAAGGCCAGGGUGUGAGUGGGGAAGGCAGAGUUUCAGAGCCUAUUUUUGUAGGCAUCAAAGCAGGAGAAGAUAAUGGUACCUUAAAAAGAAGGCGGUGAUUGUGGUGUCAGACUCGAGAAUCCCAUAUUGUGCUUCCUGUGAGCUGAAGGAAGUAAAAAGUUCUCAACUGCUCCAACAGCUCCUUCUCUGUGUGGUGAGGAAGGAAGAUCACAGGAUGAGCAGCAUCUACCAGCAGGCCCCCUUUCCUUCACCACAUGCUGCAUGUUGCCGUGCACCUAGAGCAACUCAGCCUCUAAAAAGCGCAUACUGUUAUGUGAGAAACAGGUUCGAGAGUCCCCUGCCAGUUGCACUUACUGCACACCACAGACAGUCCUUAGGGCCCACUAGAGACUCUCACUACCUUUACACCCAUCUUUGAUUGCAAACAAGUCCUUAGGUUUCAAAACAGGAAGUAACCCAACUAGGGUUGCUGUUCUUCCUGGUAACCUCCCUUCCACAAAAGACAAGUCACCUGUUCUUCAGAGAGCAAAGAAACUACUCUCUCUGAGAAAGGAAGCAUCAGCCAGAGGGGAAGGGAUGGGACAGGUUUGUUAACUGGCCACGAGGACACUGGAGUAAGAAACCAUGGCAAUUGUUCCAGCGGUUUUGAGAAAUGAGCAUUUUGUUUCCCAUUUUACACAAUCUAAGUUACUACAAAAGCCCAGACUUUCUUGGUCGAUCUCCCAGCUCACUCUUCCUUUGCAACAGCCCGUGACU
ensembl:lncRNA